rnacentral:lncRNA from 1 species
CCCAAUGCUUGACGGAGCACAGUCUCAGUCUGGACACACACACCCUCAAUACAAUCCACCACCACAAGUGCUCCAUCAGUAAUACGCAGAGCAGCUGUGACUUCAGAUGAAAAGUCAACGUGCCCGGGGGAAUCAAUGAGAUUGAUGAGGUACUCAUUUCCGUUCCUCUCUCCCUUGUACCUCUGCAAAGACUCAUCAGUCAUCUCAUAGUACAGAGAGAUACCGGUAGAUUUAAUUGUGAUACCACGCUCUGCCUCAUCUGCGCGAGUAUCAGUCAUCCGAACAUCACCAGCAACUUCUUGUGCAAUGAUACCCGCAGCAGCAACAAGCGAGUCUGUAAGAGUUGACUUCCCUGCAUAUCAAAUUUCAAAAACAUUAUAUGUUUUGAGGAAACACCAUAGGACAUAAACAAAUAAAUGGAUAAAACGCAACUAUACAUAUUAACUGGUGAAAUAUUUCAAAUUAUAACCAAUAGAGAAAAGUUCAAAAUACUGAAAAAAAAUACACUUGACCAAAAUAUUACAACAUUAAAAAUUUUCUUUAACCAGGUUAAUAAAAACACCUUGUAACAAAGACAAGAAUUAUCAAGUGAAAAUAAAAAAGAUCUAUACCGUGAUCAACAUGAGCAAUAACAGACAUAUUGCGAAUGUUGUGCUUGUAGUCCAUAAUCCUACGGAGUUCUUCUGCUGUAAACUUCACCUGCAAUAUCAAGAAUAUCACACCAUUGUGAAUUAAGGAAUCAAUGGAGCAGCUCAGGAAUCACUAUGUAACCAUGUUCAGAUUGAUAGUCAGUGUUUACCAUCUUGACUAGUCUUUAAGAACAACCGGCAAUUAGUUUUUAUAAGAAGCUGAUUAACCGACAAGGAAACACCUGCAAAUUUAAACAACAAAAAAAUGAACUGGAAUUCAACUUGGAAUAUAAACAUUUAAAAUGACUAGAAAAUGACACACCAAUACAUUUCUAUGUUUAAAAAAUGACCAGAAAAAAAAAAUAGCAAUUUGUAUUCCACCAAAAGACUAUUGAAUUCCGGUAAAAGGAAUACAUAAUUUUUACUGUAUCAAGCAAUCUUAAUAAUCAAGACAAGUUAUUCGGUAAACGGUCUUGACAAAAGAAAAGGUAAUCACAAAUCAUUCCUUAUCAAUUAGGAUGAUCCUAUUAAUUUAGGGCCACCAAUAACAACAAAAUAGAAAACAAGUACGCAUAAUAAUUCUCUCUUACAAAUUAGUAUAUUUUAGAACGAAAAUUAUUCUGGAAAAUAUUUUUAUAUUAUUUCUUUGACAUGAAUAGGAAACAAAAUGUUCUGAAAAAAUUACUCAUAAAUUCAAACGAAACCUUAAUUUUCGAAAAUCUUUCCACUAAAAAAAUUGCUCAACGAAACUAUUUUCCAGCAAAACAACAGAGUAUUAGUACGAUCAAAGUAGAAAACAAGAUCUAGCAAAUACAAAACAUCUAGGGUAGUGCUAACCACACACCCACUUUACUUUUCACACACACUCAACUUUCUGCUGUAGGAUAAAAUGAAUUGAAGAAGAUCAAUGGCUAAAAACUAAAAAUGGAUGUGUGAACAAUUUACAAAUACUAGCGAAAUUAUCAUAUAUCACGUAAAAAUUAUCAAAAACGUCAGAAAAUUAUUCCACAGCAAAAAAAAUUUCACGUAAAAAUUUUCCGAUGAACCAACCAGAGCCUGAGAGAGUGAUCUGUACGGAAAACAAGGAUCUAAUACAAACACAUUUCACACAAACAUAUAUACACACACAAUGCAUCCGUAAAACCUGAGCAACGAUCGAAACGAUAAACGAGCAAAGACAUAAUACCAAACCAAAAGCAUGCAUAACAAUAAUAUAUUUCCAACAAUACAAAAUGCAUGCAGAUCACAGAUUUUUCAGAACAACAAAAUGCAUGAUUAACGACGAUAAUCAAGAAAUCACGAGGAUAAUCGGGGGGAUUAAAUCAAAGGAAGCGACUGAUUCGAAUAGCAUAGAAUUAGAGGAACGAACCUGAAGGAUCGGGAGAUGGAGAGCGAGGGAGGGAUGGAGAGAGGAGUGACUCUCCGCAGCCUAGAGCUAGUGGUGCAAAUGGGACUGAGAGAAUGUGUGGAGCCCGGAGGAGGGUGUGAGUGUUAUAUAAGGUUAGGGUUUUCGUUUCUUGGGUUGGGCUCCGCUUUCAUAGUUUAUACUAUUUUCUAGGCCCACCAAAAUCUCCAUCGGCCUUUUUUUAUUCUAAAAUCAUGGGCCUUAGGGCUUUUUAUUUAUUUUUUAUUUUUAACAACAUUAUAUAAUUAUGGAUAAUGAUGGGAAGAUCAAAUUUGAAAAUCAAAUAAAUAGAAAAUUAGCACGUUAAUUAAUAUUUCAAUAAUAAUUCAAUUACAUUUCAUAAUCAUAAAAGUCGACUAAGUGCAAAAAGACGGCCACACAUGACCUUUGCCAAUCGACCUAUUCCACAGUUGUAUGACCUAGGUUAAGAAGGUCAAAGCUUCUUGUUAGACACUCAAAACUCAAAACUUCAAAUUCUUGUUUAUUAAUUAAACAAAAAAUAUUGAGAAAAGUUAUUAGCAUUUUAGUAUGGCAUGUUUUUCUUUGAUUGUAAGUGAGAGAAAAGUGAGAAGUGGAAAUGAAUACAACUACACUGUCGUGCUAAGCAGCCUCCAAUAUUCGUAAGGUAGGCAUAAACUUCUUCGUCUAAUAAACGUUUUCUAAAUAUGAGCCUAGGGUUUAUUUACAAGAUAUACAUAUAUUCUAACCAAUUCACUUAACCCAACCCACACUUGCAAAGAUAGCCUAGAUUUAAAAAGCCUUAGCUCCCCCAAACACUUCUACUUUGGACACCAAACCCCAACUCUCUUUUUUUCAUUUUUGUAGCCAAAACUAUAGUAUCUACAUGUAACAACAUUGAUAUCAAGUCGAUGAAUUGUAUAGCAUGAAUUUUAAAGGGUGUUUGUUUGCCCUCACUAAGCUUCACUAGAUUGGAUUGGCUUAGCUGGAAUUUCUAAUUCGUGUUUGGUUGGAACAAGGAUUAAGUAUAAUGGGACUAAGUCGGAUUCGUGCCAACUAAGUCCUUCACUCCCAGUUCUUAGCUAGGUUGCCCGAAACAUAUGGGAUUGCUAAUCCCGUCUCUAAAGCUGUGUACAAAGUCUGCACGCUGCAUCAUCUACACGCUGCAAGUCAUCUGCAAUCAUGCUUCUUUGCAACUCUGUUUGGCCACCUAUGCCCAGAUCUGAAACCCACCACACCCACUGCCUAAUUCUCAACAUCCAACUACCAAAAUUCGAAAAGAAAAAAAGUCAAUUCGAUAACAACAACAAACUCAAUAGAAAAAUUCUUCAUUUUUCCUAGAAAAUUAAGAGAAUUUUUGAGACAAUCAAAGGAGUGGCGAGAAAUAGAGUGGUCGUGAAAUCCAUGACGCAGCAGAGGGGUGCCUCUGCACGAUUUCAAUUCUCCGUGGGAUAUGAAGUUGGGAAACCAGAAUCUGUGGUGCCAGAAAUAGUUUAGAGGAAUCACAACAGCAAAGAAAAGGAAAGGGAAAAAAAGAGAACAAAACGGGGGUGAUGAAUGACGUUGAGUGAGGAGAGAGUGGAAAGGAAAAGAAAAAGACGAAGAGAGUGGAAAGGAAAAAUAAGAAAAAAAUGUGGAAAGAAAAAAAUGUGAAGAAAAAAAUGACGAAAUUAUUUGAUUUUCCAAAAUAAUGUAGUCCGUAACUUAGUCCGAUAUUGCAUCAACCGCUCCAUUAUUCUUAUCCUACUUAGUCCAUGCCUAGCCAAUCUAACUUAAUCUUUAAAGCUAAUCUAGUCCGAAAUAAUCCAAUACAACAAACGCACCCAAUCCCAUAUUGAUGCAGGCCAACCAAAUUCAUAAACUAGCACAAUUAAGAAUACAAAGCCGCUGGUUCCACAACUUACAAAACCUGAAUCAAACACGAGCUAGAGCGGUUUUCGGCACCUGUGCAGCCACUCGUAUUGGCGGCGCGCGAGCCGAGCAUUGCAACCACCACCUUCGAGGCGUUUUCCCAUCUCUAAUGAAAUAGUAGCAGAAGAAGCUGUUGCAGGUCUUCAAGUUAGAAAGAACAAACAUCAAUCAAAUACAUGAAACAAAGUAGACAAAAGUAUAGUAAAUUCAAAAAGCGUGUAGCAACAAUGGCAGAAAUUGUUCCACAAGCAACAAGGUAAAAGCAGAACAUUAUAAAGGUCUCUGUUCUGAGCACGCACAAAACAUUUAACUACUGGCACCCAGAUGCUGACUACAGCAACAAUGUUAACAACAUUAAACAAAAACGAUUAAACUGGAAACCAAAAAAUUAACGCAGUGCAUCGAAAACAAAUUAUUACUCAAAGCUUGUCCUCAAACUCGGAUAGUGGGGUCAUCUGCUCCUUCAAUCCCUUCCUCUUACGGAUGUCGGUAACAAGUGCUGCAGCCUGGGAUCCAGCUUCCAAUGGAUCAGACGACAUCAUCUCCCAAUGAUCAAACACACAUUGUGGGAAAGCCUGUCCAGAAGUUGCAGCCCUCAGUUGACCAGAGAAUCCAAAGGACUCGACAACGGGGAGGUAUGCCUUGAUGUUGUAAAGUGGAGUUCCCGGCCUCUGCAUCUCCUCAAACACGUGUCCACGUUUCUGAUUCAGAACACUGUAUAUACCUCCAAGAGCCCCCUCUGGAGCUUGAAUUUCAACAAGAUACACUGGUUCGAGAAGCCUUGGCUUGGCUGUGAGCUGAGAGGCAUAGAUGACCCUCCGAGCAGUUGGAAUGACCUGACCUCCCCCUCUGUGGAUGGCAUCAGCGUGAAGAACCACAUCACAAACUUCAAAGCAAAUACCUCUCAUGUUUUCUUCUGCCAAUGCACCUUCCUUUGAGGCCCACUGGAACCCAGCAACAACUGAAUCCUUGAUUUCAUUAAGGUACUGGACUCCCUUACACAUGUCGACCACCAUGUUAGGACCAGUGGUCUCGGGACCAAAACACCAGAUUUUCUUAGCAAGAUCCUUGUCCCAACCAAACUCCUCAGCCAAGAUCUUGGAACGAAUCUUGGGAUCAUCUCUUGGGCCAAUGCGACCUUCAUCAAUAGCCUCAGGAAGCCCUUCCUCAAGGGGCCUUGCUUCCAUGUACAGACGGUUAUGCUUGUUUGGAGACUUGCUCAUCACUGUACGGCAGGACUUAUCAAGGACAGUCUCACGGAAGGACACAACAGGGUCAGACUUUAUAAUCUCAGCACCACCCAUAAAAUCAUCUUGCAGAUCCUUCAAACAGAUCUCAAGAUGCAGUUCACCAGCACCAGCAAUAAUGUGCUCUCCCGACUCCUCAAUGGAGCAGACAACCAUAGGAUCAGACUUGGCCAAACGCUUGAGACCUUCAACAAGUUUGGGAAGGUCAGAUGCAACCUUGCACUGGACAGCAACACGCACGACGGGUGAAACUGAGAACUUCAUAGCACGAAUAGGGUGAGCAUCCACUUCCUUCUCAUUUGUUAAAGUAGCAUUCUUGGUGAUAAACUGAUCCAAACCGACCAAGGCAACAGUGUUACCGCAAGGAACAUCCUCAACAGUUUCUUGUCUCUUUCCCAUCCAAAUAACAGUCCUCUGUACAUUCUUGACAUACAAAUCCUUCUUCUCUCCAGGAACAAAAUUUGGACCCAUGAUUCUAACCUUCAAACCUGUCUGAACUUUACCAGCAAAGACACGGCCAAAGGCAAAGAAUCUACCCUUAUCAGAAGCGGGAAUCAUCUUAGACACAUAGAGCAUAAGAGGUCCUUCGGGGUCACAGUUCCUGAUGGCAUUAGCAUAUUGAUCAUCAAGGGGACCCUCAUACAAAUUCUCAACACGGUACCUUUGAGCCGUGGAAGGAGAUGGAAGGUGAAAGAUCAUCAUUUCCAAUAGAGCAGUGCUAGCUGGUAGCCAGGUCUGCAUAACACGCUUCAUCAAUGCCUUCCCCAUCAGGUCCUUCUCAUCACUCUUCAUGGUGACACCAAGCUUUGUCAACAUGGGCCACAACUUAUCCUUCUGAUCAUUCAUGCACGUGUUGAUGAUCUGCUUGAUGGGCUCAUAACAGAACUGAACGAAACCACGCUUGCAGGUUGCAGUUCCGGUGUUCUUGCUGGUCCAUUUCUUCGUAGCUGGGUCAAAAUAGUUCUCACCCCAGAGCCUUUCCAUCAUCUUUGACUCAUCAACUCCAAACUUGGAAGCAUACAUCUUAGCGAAGUUGGUCAGAGUGAAAGCCCAACCGUGCAAACCAGCUGAGAAGGCGACUGUUCCUUUCUCUGGGUAGACCUGAACAUCACCAAGAAGUGGAUCUUCAUAUGUAGCCAUAAUGACAUUGGCAUUCUCAAUAACCCUUUGGAAUGUCUGGUAAGCCUCCUCUCCAUCAACCUGGAGCUCGAGGAAGCACCUGUCCAUCUUGUUAACGGUCAAAACAGGCCUGAUCCUCUCUCCCAAGGCUUGACGGAGCACAGUCUCAGUCUGGACACACACACCCUCAAUACAAUCCACCACCACAAGUGCACCAUCAGUAAUACGCAGAGCAGCUGUGACCUCAGAUGAAAAGUCAACGUGCCCAGGGGAAUCAAUGAGAUUGAUGAGGUACUCAUUUCCGUUUCUCUCUCCCUUGAACCUCUGCAAAGACUCAUCAGUCAUCUCAUAGUACAGAGAGAUACCGGUAGAUUUAAUUGUGAUACCACGCUCAGCUUCAUCGGCACGGGUAUCCGUCAUACGGACAUCACCGGCGACUUCUUGUGCAAUGAUACCAGCAGCAGCAACAAGAGAGUCUGU